CUACCGCGCGUGAUGUAAUGCUAGAAAUGUCAUGUGAUGUUUACGUAUCGACAUUGUCAGCUGUAACACAGAAGAAGUGUGGCGCGUGCAAUAAACGGAACAACGAGGAGACAGCACGGAACUGAGAGUUAGUGUUAUGCAGUAUGACAAGUGCCAUGGAUGCCAAUGCCAAAAAUAGUUCAAUACAAGUUGUCGUUGGAUCACUCGUGGAGGCUGCAGGCGACAAGAAUGAAACUGUCAGGCAUGCAGUUUCUGAAUCGCUCAAGAAGAUUGCAAGGAAACAUCAGAAUGAUGUACUGGAUAACAUAAUUUGCUAUUGCAAGAGAAAUUCAAAGUUACCAUUACAACAUUUAAGUCUCUUGCUGAAAACAAUAGAAAAUAUAUGCCAAGAACAUCUAUCAAAUAUAAAUGAAGUAACUGUUUCCAAUUUGAUUGAGUUUGCAAUGGAAGAAAUGACAAGGAAUUCUGAUUAUAUACCAGAAUCUCAGAUGCCUUUGUCAGGCGUACUUGUUGCCUUAGGAAAAAUCCAUUGUAAUCAGGUAAUGGAAGGAAUUCUAAAAAAAUUUCAGCCCGGUGUUCUUCCUCAUUAUUGUAUUUUACACACCAUGGGUAACUUGGCAUCUGCAAAUGUGUUUGGAAUUGUUCCGUUUAUAAAAGCAACAUUGGGUACAAUGUUACCAAUGUUGGGCAUGGUCCGUAAUGAUGCACUGAAACAGGCAUUUGCGUUUGCGUUGGGUAGAUUUGGUGAUGCAAUUUUGGAAUAUAUGGCUAAUAUAGAUACAGCUCCAGACAAUACAGUAAAGAAAGAUUCAUUCUCCACAGAGAUAAGUAUUGCUUAUGAUGUGCUUGUAAGCAGCUGGAUAAAUUCACGGGAACCAAAGGUAUGUGAAGCAGUGCUACAAGCUUUAGGACCUAUGUUUUCAAUCUUGGAGACAGAUAAAGUUUUUGAGCAACUUCCACGAUUGAUUCCAAUCUUGCUGAACCUUUACCGGCGAAAUGUUGAUUCCUAUGCCAUAUCACAGUGUUUGGCUGCCGUACUGCUGGUUGCAGUUGAGCAUAGUAAAAGCUGUCUAGAACUUCAUGCUGAUAACUUGCUGAAUGUACUUUUUGAAAUGGUGUGCCCAUUCCCAGAUUAUGCUCAACCUGCUGCUGUAAAAAAUCAUUAUGAAGUCUUGCGAUGUUUCGAUAGGAUUGCAACUGCCUGUGUGGGGAAGGUGUUGGAAUUCAUGAUCCAUCAACUCAAGAAUGGUGAACGAGAGAAGAUAAAAGCCCUCUUUGUCAUUUCACAUCUGGUUAAUUCAUCAGAAAAUGUUAUUCAGUCAAAGAUUUCUGAUGUGAUUGUAAUAAUGAAGAAUCUUUUAAGUGAAAGCAGUGGCAAGGUUAAAAAGGCAGUACUGAAAACAAUUGUUGCACUGGCAUAUAAGGGACAUCUUAAUGGAGAAACUGGAAUGGAAUUUAUUGAAUAUAUUGUUAGGAACAGCCGUUCAUCUUCCACUGAUCAGGCUGCAAAUUACACAGAUUCAGAAAAUGUUUUGGAAGAUCUCUCGCAUACAUGUGCCAGUACAUUGUAUCUGCUUACUACAACUGUAUCUGAAGUGGAAGGAACUCUCUGGCCACUUCUGAUGAAGUGCUAUUUAUUGAGUGAAUACACUACAGCUUGUACUCCAAUUGCUCGUUGCCUUGCUCAUUUGUCUUCCAAGGACUGCUGCGAGAAGAUGUUGUCUGGAGGAAUGGGGAACGAACACACUCACAAGGUGCCGCACUCAUUUUCCUUGUUUGGAAGAUCUCUGGCUUUGCUUGGAAAUCCAUCACAGACUAAAAGAGGGAUUUACAUUUUAAGCUUCAUGAAGAACAUUGCAAAAAUGAUUAAUCCGCAUUUGUGUCCCCUGUGGGAGCAGAAGAUUCCAGACUUAAUAUCGUACUUGAAAGAGAGCACAUUUGAAAUUUAUGAUCAAGUAUGGGAUGAAUUAUUGUUGGAGUUUGUGUCAUCAACUCUUACUGAAGUUGAUGAAGAGAAGUGGACCCUGCAAAUGGGUGAACAAUUAAAGGAACAGUUAACUUUGUAUACAUCAUAUCCUAUAGAAAGAGGAAUGGCAUUUAAAAUGUUGGCUGUAACUACAUGCCACACAACAGACAAAUUGUAUGUAGGCAGAGUACUGGAUGUUAUCUUCACUUCUCUGCGGCAGUAUUCUGCAUCUGAUAGUAAACACUGUUCAAAGGCAGUCGGAAUUUGUUCACGAAAUCAUUUGAGUAUUGUCUUGCCAAAACUGGAGGGCCUCAGGAAAGAGGAAUUGUCACGAAGGUCAUCCCGCUUGCUUAGUUUUAUGAAGGAUAUAAAGCAUGAAGGAGAACAGGAACGAAUCCGCCUCACACUGCUGCAGUGCUAUGGGGAAGUGGCAUUAGAGGCACCAUCAACUGAACUUAUGCCAAAAAUGGAACAGAAUGUGUUACAAUGGGUUGUACAGCAAAUUCAGAUGUCAAAGGAUGCAAGUGUUACAGAUGCUGCUCUCAGAGCACUUGGAAAGAUAGCAGAAGGAUUUCAUCCUAAUCGUAAUAGUUUGCAAAUAAUGAUGCAGAAUCGCACUGAAGUUCUGAAUUUGAUAAUUAGCCAACUAAACACAGAUUGUGUCACUCUUUCCCCUCUGCAUCUAAUGUUGAUGACAACAGUACUCAGAGUAGCUGCAAUAUUUAUUAAACUUCCCCCUGCACUGGCACCACAAGAGCGUAUAUCUGUAUUGAAACAUUGUUUCACAAAGGUGUAUCACGUUAUUUUACUGGACUCAAAGUCAGUACAGAGGCAGCCUGACACUGCUAGUGAUGAAUUACUAACAGAAAAUAGUGGAAUAGCUCCAGAAAUUGAAGAUUUACAGUCAGCAUUAGGAAUGCUGGUUCAAGAAAUGCUGCUUAUUUCUGUAUGUCCAUCAACACUUGAUGAAAUGUUUACCCUCUUGGAACCUUGGAUAUCUCAAAAAUAUGCUUCUCAGAGGACUGCUGCCUUGGAUACACUGAGUACCAUUUUGCAUUGCUAUAUUGGCAAUGUCAGAUUUGGAUGUGAGACGCCGACAAAGUUCAGUCAGACUGGAAUAAUAUUGGGUCGUAUUGCUCCUCGGUGCACUGAUCCUGAUUUGAAAGUGCGCCAGAAAGCUACAGAUUGUGUAUAUCUGGUUCUUUGUUUGGCAGCCAGAUACGAAGGACAUUCUAAAGAUUAUGAAAAUGAGUUCAUGAAUCAUUUUAAUAAAGUGCAGAAGGAACUCCAAACUGAUGAUCCUCAGAGACUCUUUAAAGCUACAGGCGACCUUGCUCAGAUUGUGUGUUCGAAGCUUCCACAAUUUCAAGUCAUACCGUUCACAGACAGUUUGCUGGAUGGUUUAAUGGAUGCUGAACCUAGCAGUUCCAGUGGUGCAAGUGUUAUUCUGAAUGUAUUUUUAAAGAUUAAAGGAGGAGAGCUUUAUCAUCAAGUUAAUGAAAUUCUGAAUGGCAUUCUCAAGCAGCUGUGUAAUGUACAUUAUGUACAAACUCGAAAUGGUGGUCUAAGAGCAAUUUUGGCUCUGGCACAUCAUCAUCCAAAGUCUGUGGUAUCAGCACUGCUGCUUCAGCGACUCCCAUAUGACCUGUCAGUAUCAGAAUGCUGGAUGGUAUUGGCCCAGGACCCAGUUUUGUCUUCAGACAUAAUUGAGCAGUUUCUUUCUAUAAUUUCAACCACUCCUCUCUAUGAAAUCCAGAAUGAUAAAGUGAAGAUAGCUGCUCUACUACCUCUGGCUGCAAUAAGUGCAAUGAGCAAUAUGUUCAGUAUAGCCAGCAUGAAUUCAAUUACAGUUAAAAAGUUUCCGGAACUGUUUUCCAUGUUUCUUGUUGCAAUGGGCUGCUAUGUUGGUAUCUCUCCACCUAUCUGUGUUCCACAGAAACCAGAAAAUACAAAUAAAUAUGGUAUUGUUCCAAACAGGGGUGCUUACAAACUAAAUCCUGCAAAGGUAACACAAGAUGCAUUCAAAGCAUUUUUACUGUGCAGCAACUGUGAGCUAAUAGCAGAAGCCUUACUGCAAUGUACACAUAUGGACAGUGGAGAAAAUCUUACAUCAUUUAUAAAAAUGAUCCCAGGUCUAGUAAAGAAAGUAUGUCAGUGUGUACCGCAGGCAUUACCAAAAUUGGUGGGAUGUUUCAACCAAUAUGGAACAAGUAACUAUGAGCCCCAAAGAAUCACAGUAGCUGCAUUUUAUGCAGAGAUAAUGGCCAUGAGAGGUAGCCUACAGAUGGUCCUCAUGGAAAGUAUUAUGUCAAACUUGUUGAACUGUUUGGCUGAUCCGUCUCCAGUUGUCAGGCAAUUGUGUUUAAAAGGCCUGGCUUCACUUUCUUGCUGGGAGCAGGAACAGGUGAAUAGGCAUUCAGAAUGUGUCUUAUCUGCCUUGCUGCAAGGAUUGGAUGACCAGGAAAAUGGAAGCAAGAUACCAUUUGAAGCAAUGAAAGGGUUCAUCAGGAUGUUGAAAGUGGCUGAUGACGCUCAGAUAGAAAAUAUUCAAGUGACCAUUGGUUUACGUAUAAAACCUUAUUUUGAGAAAGAUGAUCCUGAGCUUCGAGCUACAGCUAUUCAGAUCUUUGGUGACAUUGCAAGAUAUGGCAACAAGCCAUCUAAGACACAAUUCCUGGAGCAAAUAAAUGGAAAUUUAGCUUGUUUCUUUCUUCAUCUGAAUGAUGAUCAUGAAAUGGUCAUUAAGGCUUGUAAAUAUACAUUGAAGCAGGUAUGCCCAUGGUUGCAAACUGAGAAGCUGAAUUCAAUGUGCCAGGAACAUUUGCAUAAUGAAUCUGUUCUGUAUUACACCAACUUCAUCACAGCUGUUUCAAAAAUUCUGGUUGAUGACUUGAAGGAUUUGAUGCCAUUACUAAUAAUGAACACUCUUUCUUACCUGAAGAGCUCUUGGCCAAGAAUUAGAGGAAAUGCAGCAAUGUUAAUAGGGCUACUUAGUGGAAAUCUACCAUUAGACUUGAACAACAGCAUACCACUAGAUACUGUGUGUUCACGUCUUCUGCAGUCACUGAAAGAUGAAAAUCAGGAAGUGCGAGCAAAAGCAGCGGAAGCCCUCAGCUCACUCUUCAUUUCGUGAGAUCUGGAAAUCAGGACUUUUGAUACAGUUUUCACUGACAAGUAGACUGAUUCAUGAGGAAGGGGUCCUUGAGAAUGGAGAGCCAGUGGACAGCAUGUAUUCUAUCAAGACAAGACAGUAUACAGUGUCUGACGGUAUUGUUCAAGUGGUUGUACUGGAAUGUACAGCACUUUGUCAUCCUGAAACUGAGUACAAACUACAUGACAGACUGAAUAUAUGUUGUUAUUUUUCUGUAUGAAAAUAAUUUAACUUAAAUAGUAUCCCACUCUGUGUUGCAAAUUCGAGAGAAAGCAGUUAUGUAAAUUAUUGGGAGAUGCGCAAUAAUCUAGUCAUUUAUCAACACACAAAAUUAUUGUACAUAAUUGAUAAAGCAACUCUAGAGGUAAAAUAUGGGAAAACAUUCCUACAGACAUUUGCACAUACUCUGUCUGUGUGUGUGUGUGUGUGUGUGUGUGUGUGUGUGUGUGUGUGUCAGUCAUGUCAAAGUGGUGAUGGUACUGGGAGUGUAGCAUUGUCUUAAGUGUAAAUCUGUGUUUUAAUUGUCUAUAAAAUAGACUUAUUAACUUAGUGUCUACAAAUUGUUAUGCUUUUUGAAAGGUUUAUUUCUUAAUAUUUUAAUGUCUAAACAAUUGUACAGUAUUAAUUGUUUUACGUUAUAAUAUUUCUUAUCCCUCCUCCACCACAGCAACCCUUAAUUCCUCCUCCUCUUGAAGAAAGGUAUUUGAUGUCAGCAAUAAAAAGUUGUAUGCCUCAUUAACACAAACAAAUACUGAUGGGAAAGACAAAGUUAAAUAUUAAUUCCAUAAUUGCUUUACUGCAAUUUGGCUUCUGUUGGUAUAUAAGCUGGCCGUUAUGUAAAAAAGACAUUCUGUAAUAAAAUGUUACAAAAAAUCA